AUACUAUGCUUCUAACUAAUGUUAUAAAAAUCUAACACUACUAAAAGCAGAAUACGGUGAGCGGAGAGAGCAUCCACGUCAUCUAAUUUAAUUGACCAAUAGAAAACUGUUAUGCGGCCACGUCAAUAAUUUCCCAAGGCCGGACACAGUUAUUUCCCAGUUAUCUGAUUCAGUGUGGCCCACUUUCAUACAAACCCCAUCACUUGGCCCAACUACUACGAUAGGGAUCACCGACUCUCCACUUCACCUUCUUCAGUGUAGUCUCUGCAAAUCACCGUUAAGUUGAAACUAAGUCUUCCCACUCUUUCACAUUUAAUAAGCUUCAUUACUUUAAAAAAAAAUUGUUUCUUCCGUUGAUAUUAUUUGGGCUUUUAUGAUUUUCAUUGGGUAACAACCGCCAUGACCAGAUACGCCGGAAGCUUCGAUCACCGGCAAGGACAAAGUCAUAUCAAACACAGGACAACUAUCAAGUUUUCAACUUGAACAAACUAUACCUAAAUGGCGGAGGCUGAGAGCUUUGUCCCUUUUCAGUGCAUAAGGAAUGAUGUCAUUUGGAGACUCAAAUCCUACAAGCAUGAUUGGAUCAGUGGUUUCAGAGCUGAAUUUAGAUGCUAGGAAAGCUAUGGACGAUGUUGGGAUCUGAUUCUGAAGAUCAGG